AACGAACGCUGGCGGCAGGCCUAACACAUGCAAGUCGAACGAGACCUUCGGGUCUAGUGGCGCACGGGUGCGUAACGCGUGGGAAUCUGCCCUUCGGUUCGGAAUAACUCAGGGAAACUUGAGCUAAUACCGGAUAAUGACGUAAGUCCAAAGAUUUAUCGCCGAAGGAUGAGCCCGCGUAGGAUUAGCUUGUUGGUGGGGUAAUGGCCCACCAAGGCGACGAUCCUUAGCUGGUCUGAGAGGAUGAUCAGCCACACUGGGACUGAGACACGGCCCAGACUCCUACGGGAGGCAGCAGUGGGGAAUAUUGGACAACGGGCGAAAGCCUGAUCCAGCAAUGCCGCGUGAGUGAUGAAGGCCUUAGGGUUGUAAAGCUCUUUUACCCGGGAUGAUAAUGACAGUACCGGGAGAAUAAGCUCCGGCUAACUCCGUG
rnacentral:rRNA from 1 species